UUAUUAGAUUAUAAUAAGACUACGUUUGUUACUUUAAUGUUUGUAUAAAAUGGGCAGGCGCUCUAAUCACUUUCGUUUUCAAGACAGCCUUACAGUUCACAGGUGUUAUGGAUAUGAUUUGAUGCUAGGGCCUCCGAAGAGGUCCGCUAACAUAUUCAAUUCACUAAUGAUCCUUCCGCAGGUUCACCUACGGAAA
rnacentral:misc_RNA from 1 species